UUUCCGUAGGUGAACCUGCGGAAGGAUCAUUAUUGUAUACCCGAGGUGCGAGGGCUGUCGCUGACCCGAAAGGUCGUGCACGCCCGAGUGCCCUCACACACAUCCAUCUCACCCCUAUAUGCACCGCCGCGUGGGUCCCCCUUUGGCUUGUUCGGAGGGGGGCUUACGUUUUCACACAAACUUUGUAUGCAGUGUAGAAUGUAUUUUUUGUUUUUGCGAUCACGCAAUCAAUACAACUUUCAACAACGGAUCUCUUGGCUCUC
rnacentral:misc_RNA from 1 species